CUCAGGUAGGAGGUGGGGGGGAGGCGGGAGUGAACUCUCGCGAGAAGAGGCGGUUGCCGUAGCGGAGUUCUCCGGCUGUGUCUUGAGGUUCCGGCGCCGGAGCUGCGGACGGUUUGCUGCGCCCGUUAGUGUCCCUGCUGAGACCCACGCCGCCGUCAUGUCCCGGUACCUGCGUCCCCCCAACACGUCUCUCUUCGUAAGGAACGUGGCGGACGAUACCAGGUCUGAAGAUUUACGACGCGAAUUCGGUCGUUAUGGUCCUAUAGUUGAUGUGUAUGUUCCACUUGAUUUCUACACUCGCCGUCCAAGAGGAUUUGCAUAUGUUCAAUAUCCUUUCUUCAGAUGGCUGAUUAGUGAGGGGUGUUGAAGUUUGAAAUUCAAGUUUUUGUAAGAGAGAAUGUAAAGCUGUACAGUUAUGGCGACCCCAAAGAGAAAGCAUGAAAGAACCUUUAGAGUAGAGUUCAACACUUAAGGCAAGUAGACAAGCCAAAGACCUUAAGGAUCAGGCUUGAAGAGAAGGGAGAGUUUGGGAAAAGAAAAUAUAAAGAAAAGCUGGAAGAAGGACAAGCCUAAUGGGAGACAAAGCCUCGCUUUAUCUACAAAAGGGGGAAAAGGUUGUUUUUCAAAGUUAAAGAUAAAGCCAUCUGUCAUAUUUGGCCAAGCAUCUCAUGACAAGUCCUUCUGACAAGCACUUAAAGAGUUAAAGGUCAAGAUGAAGUUGAAUGAUGGCCAAGAUUAAAGGAGUCAUACCUGAUGUAUCCUACAGAAUAACUAUUUUCCUUUUUUUUUUUUUUUCCUCCUCAUGUUUUGUAAGCAGUUAAUUUUCAAAAUUAUUCUGGUUUGGUCUAGUGACAAAACCUGUAACUUGAUUUACGUGGGCCUUUGAUGUUGUGAUGUGGUCUUGUAUAAAUGCACUCUCUCUUAGCUUGUGAAGUUAAAGUGUACCAGGAUGUAAUGUUGUUAAGCUUAAACUCAGCAUAUUUCUGUUUUGGACCAAGUGGUCAGGUGCUAUAGGGUAGCAGGCAGUGCUCUUUGGAGUAGCAUGAGGUUCUGGAGUCAAGCCGACUCCAUAGAGCCGUGCUUAGAGGGCAGACAGGUGCAUGCACUGGGGACUACUUAGAAACGGCUCUGGUGGUUUUAGAAGGUCAGAUCCACUAAAGAUACUGUCUGUUUAUAGAUUUUUUUAAAGGGGCUGCUAGGGGCACACACAUACUCCUAACAUCUGAAGCUUAGCUCUGUGAAACCUGCUGGCCCUGACUGCUUUAGCACAUGUGAUCAGUUGGCCCAGAAUGGGUUGCAGAAGGCCUUAUCUUUGGUAUGGGUACGUAAUCAGGAUCUGUGGGAAAUUGUUCCUUGGCCCAGAGUUUCAGGUGACAUUACUUCCUUCAGUGAGAUCACCUCCUUGUGGCAACAAAGAUUUGGGCUGUGGACUUAAGGCUAGGAAGAAUUCUCAUUGCUUAAAUUCAGUGGAUCUCUUGAAACUUAGCAGAGUUCUAAUGAGACUUAGGCAAAAUGCCAAAAGCUGCUACUCCUGCAGGGCCAGUGAUCAAGGACAGUUGUGGGAAUUGGUUGCAAAGCUCUGUUACAGAGAGGAUAAGAGGUAUAUCUGGCUUGGUUAAAAUAAAAAAAGGUAACGGUACAUUCUGGCUUACAAUGUUGGCCUGAGUUUACCUGGUUUGGAGAUGGCCUGGGAACCAGGAUCAGCAGUUAGACUCAAGAGUAUGUGAUACUUGAGCCAGGAAAGAGUUAACCAAAGGAAUCUCAAGGUGAAUUAUAGCUAAAAAAAACACAAAGUCUGUCUGUGGUCUUCAAAUAGUUAAAAAGAAAUAGGUAUCAGGAUUUUGCAAAGACCCUGAGUACAAAUUUCUCUGUAACUGGCAUCAGAAUGAUAUUUGACUGUCCCUGCUGUGGUCCUCUUUUCUAUCUGACCCCAUUCCCAGCUAGCUUUCUCUUAACAGGUCAGGUAGAACCUUGCCAUGGUUCAUCCAACCCAGGAUUCUGUUUUUGAGGGUAGCCCCAGAGGAUGAUUGGCUUUCAUUAAUAAUUUUUAUACUUCUUGGUCUAAAUCCUUUAAGAAGUUAUUCUGUCUUUCAAAGUAGCAAAGUAGUAUACCCUUCAAAUGAACUUGUUCUUUUUAAUUAUUUUAGAGCUCAACUGCAUUAACCUGGAGGGGUGUUUGAUUAUAGUGUUCAAGGUUCUAAACUCCCCAUCAACCUUUGUCUUUUCAUGAUGAAAUCCUCGUGAUUUAGGACUUGAGAAAACCUCUCGUUCACUACACAUAAUAGCCUCAGAGAGAGAGAACUGGGACCCUGUUGUGGUCUUUAAGUCCUUCCAGAACAAAAAAUAGGAAAUCUAGUGAGGCAGACCUUUUAGUCUCUGGAAUAAAAGAAUAUUAAUAUCAGUCUUGAAGGGAGUAUAUCACUUCAGGGAUGUUUUUUAAUCAGCACUCAAGAUCUGCACUCCUCAAAUUUAAGAAAUAGAAAUGGACAAGUUAGAAUAGUGAAUUUUAGUACAGAAUGAAAAUCCACAGCCAGACCUAGCCUAGCUCCCCUUCAGAAGCUUUUAUAUCAAACACUGCUCUGAAUAUGUGCUUGGCUUCUAUUAGAAUGGUGGUUUUAGGAAAGGAACUAAAUUUGGUCAGAAUAGCUUUGUUGGGGGAGAACAAGGCAACAGCCUCUCAGAUCAAAAAUGGGUACCAGCAGAUCCUGCUUUAGGCUUAUAAAUAUUAUCUUGAAAUUUCUCAAAUUGAAAACCAGUCCCAAACGCACUUCUCUACGGGAAGCUUUAUGUUUAGUGUCAAGGUUAGGGCUUUCCAGUCCAGGAAUCUUGAGAAAUGGUCUGUUAUUUCUUGGCAGCAUGCUUUUAUAGUCUGUGCAUGGAUAUAAUAUGAUGUCUUAAGUAUUGCUUGAUACUGUCUUGAUAUCUACAAGUGGCUGGUGUACCAGUCUUCCCAGUAGGUGUAAUAAGGAAGACAACUAAGUGAAAUAAUAAUGUUAGAUAUGUCUGAGAAAAAUAGCAAGAUUAAUUUGAGGUUGAUGCUUUAGUUUCUUGUAAGGUAUAUUCCGCUUGCUUACACAAGAACUAUUGGCAUUUUCUUUUUUUCAUUUGAAACAAAAAUAUGAAAAACAGUUUUGGUUUUAUUUUAAGAAAUUUUUGUUUUAGCAUACAAAAUAAAAUUGGCAUUUGUUUUUCUUUUUUGUCUUGUAAAAUUCUUAAAACUCAGGAAAAUCUUCUGAUGGGAUUACUUGGUAGUUCAGCUAUAACAGGCCUUACUUCAGUGAUAACUUUAUAAUAUGUAUUCAUAAGUGUUUUCAAACUCAUGCCUUAGGGAGUCACAAGUGCUUUAAUACUCUAAAGUGUUUAUAACUGAAUCAACCAACCAGUUAGUGGGGUCUGGUUGAUUUUCUAGAAUAAUAUCGAGAGAUUGUGAAUUGUUCCAGACUUACCAACUGAACUUUCAUUCAUUAUCAAAGUUUGCAAAACUUCCCAAGCCCCUUAACAUUUAGCACAUUUGAGGAUGUUCGUGAUGCAGAAGAUGCUUUACAUAAUUUGGACAGAAAAUGGAUUUGUGGACGCCAAAUUGAAAUACAGUUUGCACAGGGGGAUCGAAAGACUCCAAAUCAGAUGAAAGCCAAGGAAGGGAGGAAUGUGUAUAGUUCUUCACGCUAUGAUGAUUAUGACAGAUACAGACGUUCUAGAAGCCGAAGUUACGAAAGAAGGAGAUCAAGAAGUCGUUCCUUUGAUUACAACUAUAGAAGAUCUUAUAGUCCUAGAAAUAGACCGACUGGAAGACCACGGCGUAGCAGAAGCCAUUCCGACAAUGAUAGAUUCAAACACCGAAAUCGAUCUUUUUCAAGAUCUAAAUCCAAUUCAAGAUCACGGUCCAAGUCCCAGCCCAAGAAAGAAAUGAAGGCUAAAUCACGUUCUAGGUCUGCAUCUCACACCAAAACUAGAGGCACCUCUAAAACAGAUUCCAAAACACAUUAUAAGUCUGGCUCAAGAUAUGAAAAGGAAUCAAGGAAAAAAGAACCACCUAGAUCCAAAUCUCAGUCAAGAUCACAGUCUAGGUCUAGGUCAAAAUCUAGAUCAAGGUCUUGGACUAGUCCUAAGUCCAGUGGCCACUGAUAGUAUAAACCAUGAUAUUUUUAGGCAUGUAUCAUUCAUUUACUCAUAGUUUGGUUUACUUAAAUUAUCAGGAAUACAAUGUUGCAAUGAUGCUUAAAAAAACACUUGUCAGUUUUCCCUGUACCAGGCAAUGGUUAUUAUUAAAAUGAAAUGCUGUUGAGAAGCCACUCUUAAGAGUCCAGUUUGUUUAAUGUUAUGGGCAGCUACCAAUUUGUGGUGUCUCUGUAUAUUUUUGUAAAGAUUCUCAUUUUUUAAUGCUUGAGGUAUUGGUGAAAAGAUGUUGGUUGACCAUAAUUUGCAACAUUGUCUUAUUAAAAAUAAACUUUCAUAUCCAUAUUUGGUAGAACUGUUAACCUAGAAAUGUAGCUUGCUAAUAAGGUAGAAUGAUACAAAAGUGAAGUUGUAGCCACCGUACAACACUGACCCGACUAGACACAUUUAGGUUCAGGGUGGACCUUUUUGUCUUGUCAAGGUGUCGAGACCCACGAUGAUAAUUUAUGGCACAGUGUGGAAUAGUUCUUUUGUUAACCCCACUGUCUCGGGAAAUGACGCCAACUGGGUUAAGUAGCAUUUUCAGGGAGAUGGAGUUUUUGAUUGAAACACGGAGCCUUCACUUUUCUGGUUUCUGUGAAGAUUUGGAACCAUACAAACAUCGGAAAAACCCCCCUUAAAAUUUGGGCAGGUUGAUGAUGGCAGAAAUAAUUUUAAGGGGAAAAGAAUGCUCUUAUGCAGUUACUCUAAACUUUAAGGAGCAUUGUUGACCAUAAUAUUGCUUAGUUUUCUUACUGCUGUUAAAAGCAAGUAAAGUGUUUUCAAAGUAGGUUUUGUUUGUGUGUGCGCAUAGUGUAAAAGGACUGAAUUUUGAUGCUUAAAGCACUUGGUGUGUGCAUUUGUAUCAAAAUUUGCCCAUAUCUUUAUGAAGGAGGCUUGUUCUUCACGCCUCAGUUUAUUUAAUGUGAGGCAAGUAAAAAGACAACACUCCCAUUCUACGUGAUUCUGUGGUGCCAUGAGAUUUUAAAUAAUUCUGGAAAAAAACUAAGAAAGUCACAUCUCUUGAGGUUUUGACUGAUUAUCCAUGUAGUACCUGAUGAAAAUAAUACCCUAACUCUUUAUAAUUUCUAACAUCUCUCUGCGAGAUCAUUUGGGGGCAAUAAAAAGUGACUUGACGUGUCCAAUCUCAUUUCAGAAUAAAAGCUGGCAUCCUUAAAAUUUUUAGAUUGCUUGCUUACAGGCAUAAUAAGUAAGAAAUGUUGUGGGGAAACCAUUCCUUUUAGAGGAUUACUUUUUUCAAUUUUGGUUUUAGUAAUCUAGGCCUUGCCUGUAAAGAACAAAAGGUGGUUUUAAAUACUGUUUGUGGAAUGUGUUUAAAGGAUUGAUUCUAGAACCUUUGUAUAUUUGAUAGUAUUUCUAACUUUCAUUUCUUUACUGUUUGCAGUUAAUGUUCAUGUUCUGCUAUGCAAUCAUUUAUAUGCACGUUUCUUUAAUUUUUUUAGAUUUUCCUGGAUGUAUAGUUUAAACAACAAAAAGUCUAUUUAAAACUGUAGCAGUAGUUUGCAGUUCUAGCAAAGAGGAAAGUUGUGGGGUUAAACUUUGUAUUUUCUUUCUUAUAGAAGCUUCUAAAAAGGUAUUUUUAUAUGUUCUUUUUAACAAAUAUUGUGUACAACCUUUAAAACAUCAAUGUUUGGAUCAAAACAAGACCCAGCUUAUUUUCUGCUUGCUGUAAAUUAAGCAAACAUGCUAUAAUAAAAACAAAAUGAAGGAAAUAAUGAUUAACUGGAAUUAUUAUAGUUUUGAAUGAGAUUAUACAAUAACAGCGGAUUUAGGAGUAUUUUAAAUCAGUGUUGCACUAGGCACAGGUUUUACUUUGGAAAUGAUAGAACCUGCCAGAAAGGUACAUCUUUUACGUAGUAGUUAAAAAUUCCUUAUGUAAUGUCAGAGUUGUUUCAUUAUUGCUUAUUAAACCCCUUGGGUUAAAUAACUUAGAGGUUAUUGGUAGUGUUAAGAUACGCAUUAAAAUGAAAUUUGAGUCAGCUAAUUUUAAGUUUAUAUUUUCAUUAUUAGAUGGACCAAUAAUUCUGCUCUUCCCCAUCCUAAACAAGAUGGAUUGGGCCUUAUGUUUAUGGUGUGAUUUAAAAUAUUUUUGCAUUGAAUGUUCGUGAACACUUAAUAUUAAGUGAUAAUCACUGUGGGGAACUGGUUUAGGUGUUUUGUGGUUUGAGUUCAAGCUGCUUUAUAAUGACAAGUAUAGCUGAUAUUUAUUGAGUAUUUAUGAUGUGCCAGACACUGUUCUAAAAGCUUUAUGUGUUAACUCAUUUACUCAUCACGAAACCCUAUGAGAAAGAUACUUUUAUUUUCUUGUGUAACAGAUGAUAAGGAAAUGGAGGCACAAAGAAAAAGCAAUAAAAGGCAGAUCCAGGAUUUGAGCUCAGCCGGAUCCUUAGAUGUUUUUUUUUUUUAGUGGACUGUAAUUAGAGUAGAUUGGGGAAAUAACCCGUUUAAUUUUUCUUAGUCUGUAUAGAAUUAGAAGUAAUAGUUUCAUUUUUAUUUUUUACUUGUGUCACUUAUUUUUAGACUCAUGCUAUUUUCUUGAGAACCUUAUAUGUUAUUUCUAAAGUGACAUACCUAAAUAACAUAGCUUCAAAGGGACUAUUUUAUAUUUGAACCCAUGAUAGGAUCCUACUGAUACUUACGGAUCCUUAUACAGGGCUUUAAUGUUGGGUUACAUGGUUGAGUUCCAUAAUUAUUGAGUAUCUACUGUGUGUCUGGCACGGCUCAGUAUUGGAGUAGAACAUAUCAAGACUCAAGUGAGAGCUGACACUUCACCUCUCUUUUUGCUUAAGAUCUCUCUGCAUUUUUUUUUUUUUUUUGAAGCCAAGUAAG